UUAAUUCUUAAUUACAUAAUUGUCCCUACAAUCAAAUAAAACUUGUCACUCCAAAGUCAUACACAAAGUACUAUUGGUUGCGUCUCUCCUUGAGGCCUUUGAAUUCUUGUUUUAAACUGUGAGGAAGAGGAAGAGAGGAAGAGGCAGAGGACGAGGAAAAACAAAGCGGCGUUUCGGAAGUGGAUCCAUUAAUGGGUUUCCUCUUAUUCUCCGGCAAAAGUGCUUUUCUUCUUCCUGUACUCUUUUGCCUCUCUCUGUUUCUUUCAACUACUCACGUUGCUGCUCUCCAAGGUGUCAAAUUGAAAAAUCAGAUACUAGAUGUGACUCCAAUUAAUUAUGUGAGAGACCCUUUGUCAAAAGACGAUGUAUUAUGUGAACGCAUACUAAUCACUGGUCUAUCACGAUGGAGACUUAGCAGUUAUUCUAGUGCAUAUCGAGUUAGUUUGGUCCCAUCAGCUGUAAUCCCAGAUAGAUUACUGGGAAAAUUACAGAUAUGCUUUCACAAGAAUUCUUCUCUUGGCUUGUGCCAGUGUGAACAUGAUGCGUGGAAGAAUUUUCAGAAAAGGUCAUGGAACUCAGUCAUGUCUCCUUACGAGGAUAGAAUUCUUGAUGUGAAGCUUGUUGGUGGUCCUUCUGGUUCUGUUACUGUAACUGUUGAAGAAGAUUUACAAAGAUGGCGUCUGCUGUUUCUUGCUUGUGGUAUAAUGCUGAUGCUCAUGGCACCUAUUGUAAAUAGUUGGGUUCCAUUUUACUACAGCAGUUCAAUGGCUAUUGGAGUUUGUCUUGUCCUCAUCGUCCUUCUAUUCCAGGGGAUGAAAUUGCUGCCAACUGGAAGGAAAAAUAUAUUCUACUUGACUAUCUAUGGAUCAGUGCUUGGAGCAGGAUCAGUUUUGGUGCAUCAAUUCUCUAUGCUGAUAAAUUUCAUCGUCUCAAACUUUGGGCUAGGUGAAGAGUUCCACAAUUCUGUUGCUGUAUUUAUUCUUGUCGUAAUCAUCCUUGCUGGAGCUGGUCUAGGAUAUUGGUUGGUGCGGAAAUUUGUUAUAUCAGAUGAUGGUAAUGUGGAUGUUGGUGUCGCGCAAUUUGUUAAAUGGGCCAUACGCAUCAUUGGCAUUACCUUCGUCUUCCAGAGUACACUUGAUUCUCCUUUAGCGAUCUUGGUGAUCAGUUCUUGGUGGCUUAUUUGCUUUGCUGUUACUUGUAUGCAGCGGCGUGCGUCAAGGAGAAGCCCUGCUGGCCCAAUCUGUGUUGCACUUGUUGCUUCCGACCUCUGGCAAAGUCCGUUGUAUCAUUUUAUAGUGCAGUGUUGGUUUAUAGUUUUCCAGGUAUUUUAUCAUAUCUGGCCAGCCAGUUUGUUUGGGACAAGUUUCAGUUUUGGAUAUCUCACUUUGGUCAGCUGCCAAAUGCCAACAGUGACCUGAUAUAUUAAUCUGUGAUCUGUCAUUCCUCCUCCAUGCUUAAGCUUGUUUUUCCUUUUCUACAAUUCCCAUAGGAUGAUUGCAGGUACUGAAUUAUAGAUAGGCUUCAAAACAUUCCACCAGGCAAUAACCUUCUGAGUGAGUUGGAGUCCAUUUAUUUGAAUACCUGCACAUGUAGCAAUUAGCCUCCACAACUUUCCGUCCGUUGGAGAAGUUAGAAAAGUGUCUGACAUAGUCUCCAUUUUUGGAUUCUUACAACACCAACAUUUAGAGGCCAGACUGAUGGCCAUCCUUCUAACCACAUCAUCAAUUGGAAUUCUAAAUUUCCAGGCUCUCCAGUGGAAGAACUCAUCUUGAAAGAGAACUUGCCAUUCUUCUCUACAUUCACUAUGAUUUAUCUAGGUUGUCUGUUCCAGAAGGGCAAGGGACAGUCUGAGGGACAUGAUGUACUAUUUCCUCAGGAAUUUGUCAUAUUCUGGAAUUGGAGAUGUUUGGGCAAAGAAUAGUAAGCAGAUAAACAUGAAUAGAAAACGUGCUGAGUUCUUUAGGAAAUCCAGAAAGUUUGGUUCGGUUGGAGUUCCAUACAGUAGCCCGAGC